rnacentral:tRNA from 1 species
GGUGAGGUCGCAUAGUUGGCCUAGUGCACACGAUUGGAGAUCGUGAGUAACCGCAAGGUUACCGUGGGUUCGAAUCCCACCCUCACCG